rnacentral:rRNA from 1 species
CAGCAGCCGCGGUAAUACGAAGGGGGCUAGCGUUGUUCGGAUUUACUGGGCGUAAAGCGCACGUAGGCGGAUCGAUCAGUCAGGGGCGAAAUCCCAGAGCUCAACUCUGGAACUGCCUUUGAUACUGUCGAUCUGGAGUAUGGAAGAGGUGAGUGGAAUUCCGAGUGUAGAGGUGAAAUUCGUAGAUAUUCGGAGGAACACCAGUGGCGAAGGCGGCUUACUGGCUCAUUCUAGACGCUGAGGUGCGAAAGCGUGGGGAGCAAACAGGAUUAGAUACCCGUGUAGUCCCUGUCUCUUAUAC